rnacentral:rRNA from 1 species
UACGUAGGGGGCAAGCGUUGUCCGGAAUCAUUGGGCGUAAAGCGCGUGUAGGCGGCCAGGUAAGUCCGUUCUGAAAGCCCGGGGCUCAACCCCGGGAGGCGGAUGGAUACUGCUUGGCUCGAGUCCGGAAGAGGCGAGUGGAAUUCCCGGUGUAGCGGUGAAAUGCGCAGAUAUCGGGAGGAACACCGGUGGCGAAAGCGCUCGUCUGGCCCAAUACUGACGCUGAUGCGCGAAAGCUAGGGGAGCAAACGGG